GAUGAACGCUGGCGGCGUGCCUAAUACAUGCAAGUCGAGCGCCUUCACUGUGUGCUUCUCGGUAACGAGGAACAUAUUGUGAAGGAGCGGCGGACGGCUGAGUAACGCGUGGGAACAUGCCCCAAAGUGAGGGAUAAGCACCGGAAACGGUGUCUAAUACCGCAUAUGGUCUUCGGAUUAAAGGAUUUAUCCGCUUUGGGAGUGGCCUGCGUAAGAUUAGAUAGUUGGUGAGGUAAAGGCUCACCAAGUCAACGAUCUUUAGUUGGUCUGAGAGGAUGACCAGCCAGACUGGAACUGAGACACGGUCCAGACUCCUACGGGUGGCUG
rnacentral:rRNA from 1 species